rnacentral:lncRNA from 1 species
CCACCAUCCCUCACUCUGCUCUUCAGAACUGCAAGACAACAAUGACAGGCCACCGUUUGCAGCCACCAGCAUGGUGGGACUUCUGUGCUGGCCCUGGGGUGUAAUCCACCUAUCUGACACAUACCCUGUCUCUCUGCUCUCUAGAAGGUAAGGCCACCAGCCCUCGGCUUCCAGACAGCACACACAGCAGCAGCAGCAGCAGCAUCUCCUUGCAAAUAACCCCUACUUGCUGAACCCUGAGCUCCUGGCAGAGCCUCCAAUAGGGAACUUGAGAGCAGCUUUGCUGGACUUGGGUCAGAAAACCCCGCCUGGUGAAAUCAGAUGGCCAGGGUCCUGGACCAAGAGCUGGAGGACCUGCCAGUGGAAACAAUCUCACACAAUCCUGUUAAGCACACACCACCAAGGAAUGGCGGGCCUCGGGACCGGGCUGCUUCCCCCCGGCCCUGCCCAGCCGAGCAGAUGGCGGCGUGGGCGGUAGGUACCAGCCUCCUGGCAAUCCGAACAUCUGUUCCCGUUAGAAAAUGCUAAUUGCCAUCAAUCAGGACAGCACCUACCCACAUUUACANGCAAGCGCACAUGCAAAAAAAAAAAAAAAAAAA